rnacentral:rRNA from 1 species
ACACCAGCACCUCAAGUGGUCAGGAGGAUUAUUGGGCCUAAAGCAUCCGUAGCCUGUUCUAUAAGUUUCCGGUUAAAUCCACUAGCUCAACUAGUGGGCUGCCGAAAAUACUGUAGAACUAGGGAGUGGGAGAGGUAGACGGUAUUCGGUAGGAAGGGGUAAAAUCCUUUGAUCUAUUGAGGACCACCUGUGGCGAAGGCGGUCUACCAGAACACGUUCGACGGUGAGGGAUGAAAGCUGGGGGAGCAAACCGGAUUAGAAACCCGUGUAGUCC